AUCCAGCUGACGAGUCCCAAACAUUACGAAACGCGCGUCCUGGAU
rnacentral:hammerhead_ribozyme from 1 species